AGUAAAGUGCCUGACAAAAAGGAUUAUCGUGAUAGGGUAAAAAAUGUAAUAUAUUUACCUUUACUA
rnacentral:tRNA from 1 species